AAAAUUCUUAAAACUUCUUCAUAACUUCUCCACUUCUGUUCUUCCUUUCUCUUUCCCAAUUCUUCACCUUCUUCUUUCUUCUUUCUUCUUUCUUCUUCAUUCCAAAACCCAUCUAUCUCUUCUUCUUCUUCAGAUUUGGACAUCGCCGAAGGAGCUAGGCAUGGAGGAGCUCAGAUCUUCCUCCUCUCUUUCCUGCCGGUGUGCCGGGGAAUGUGCAAAUUCGGUGCCCUUCGUCGCAGUGAACACUUCGUCUCGUUGCAGGUCGUUUGACAGGCAAACACUCCAGCAUUCUUGCAGUCUUCAACGAGGACGUCGGUCUGGUUGAUGGCUUUCUAGGCAAAAGUCAAGAUGAGGAUGACUUUGAUUUUUUUUCCUUUCUCUAAUCUGGUUGUCUCAAAAUUUGUAUGGGUUUUCUAUUAUUGGAAAUGAAAUUUUAAGGUUAAGCUUUGAUUUUGUGAUAUUUUGGUGAUGGUAAAGUUUGCAAAGUUGAAGAUGAAAAUGGUUGUGAUAUGAUUGCCCAGGUAUUUUUUUGAAGAACAUUUGAACUUGAAGAACCCAUGACCUAGAUGAAGAGCAUAUGAACUAAAUAGUAAAGGGAAAGAGAAGCUCAUCCAGCCCUGAGUGGAGAGCUUAGGUGGUGAUGUGUACAUAUGCGUCUGCUUGACCACCACGGCCAAGGAGUUCUCAGAGGAACUAGGGGGUUUACCCUAUUUUUGUCGCUUAGGUCGACAGGUAAAGGGAAAGAGAAGCUCAUCCAACCUUAAGUGGAGAGCUUAGGUGGUGAUGUGUACAUAUGCGGCCGCUUGACCACCACGGCCAAGGAGUUCUCAGAGGAACUAGGGGGUUUACCUUAUUUUUUCCGCUUAGGUCGGCGGGUUUGUAAAUUUGAAAUAGUAAUGACCUUUUUGAGUUGUAA